ensembl:snRNA U6 U6 spliceosomal RNA
GUGCUCGCUUCGGCAGCAUAUAUACUAAAAUUGGAACGAUACAGAGAAAAUUAGCAUGGCCCCUGCGCAAGGAUGACACGCAAAUUCGUGAAGCAUUCCAUAUUUUU